rfam:Trichobilharzia regenti genome assembly, scaffold: TRE_scaffold0001947
GUACUACUGAAGAGUCCAAAACUAGGACGAAGCAGAUGUUCAGUAC